rnacentral:lncRNA from 1 species
AUUUGAUCCAGUUUUUUUUUUUUUUCCUUUUUCUUUCCAGGUCUUUUAGGGAGAAGAAAACAUUGGUCUAAUUUGCUAAGUAAGGGUGGACCAAGGCUAAACCAAAUCAAAUGUAUACAUGAAAUCCAAUUGCUAAAGUGAUGCUUAGCGUUUAAAGAGGACAAACUUGCAUAUAGAUCUGAGAAGCAGUCUUGAGGUUUGAGGAUGCCAGUGUGUGUAUCAGGCUGCAUUUCUCAGAGUAAUCUUAUUUUUUCAUGUGAACGACCCACCUCAUGUCAAGCUUAACUUCCAACAUCUACAAUGUGAAGGUAUCUCACUUUCUAAUGCAACACAUAGUAUUGAAGACAUUUUAUUAGAAGACCAUUCUCUACCUUGCCCCUUACUGCAUCCUAUUCCAAGUUUUAAAUUCUGAACGAUGCAAUUCUGACUGCCCUACAAGACACGGAAUCUACAGGUGCUGCUGCUUUUUGGAGCCACUGCACUUUGAGUCUGAGGUUCCACGUUCUCC